UUUAUGAUGAGCUUGCAUUUAAAAUUCUGGUCAUGGAGCAUACUGAGCCAUGUGUCAGAAAGUAAAAUCUACCUGUCAAGCAAUAAUUAUGGAGAUGUAAGCCUGACUGGAAAGCAACACCAACAGUGUGGUUGAUUCUAUAUAAACUGAGGAACACGCACCAUAAUCCACAGACUCCAAUCACGCAGGAAUGAGAACGGUCCCCAGUGACGAAAUAGUUUCCAUCGCUCCUGUGAGUUGAAGUAAAUGAGAGAACAGACUUGGACUCAAAAUAAGAACAAGUUUUCAUAAAUGAAACAAGAUGUAUAAAAGAGGAGCUUUCAUAAACGAAACAAGAUGUAUAG
rnacentral:lncRNA from 1 species